rnacentral:rRNA from 1 species
UCAGAGGGAGGUAGAAUUNCACGUGUAGCAGUGAAAUGCGUAGAGAUGUGGAGGAAUACCGAUGGCGAAGGCAGCCUCCUGGGAUAACACUGACGUUCAUGCCCGAAAGCGUGGGUAGCAAACAGGAUUAGAUACCCUGGUAGUCCACGCCCUAAACGAUGUCGAUUAGCUGUUGGCAGCAUGACUGCUUAGUAGCGAAGCUAACGCGUGAAAUCGACCGCCUGGGGAGUACGGUCGCAAGAUUAAAACUCAAAGGAAUUGACGGGGACCCGCACAAGCGGUGGAUGAUGUGGAUUAAUUCGAUGCAACGCGAAGAACCUUACCUGGUCUUGACAUGUACGGAACCCUCCAGAGACGGAGGGGUGCCUUCGGGAGCCGUAACACAGGUGCUGCAUGGCUGUCGUCAGCUCGUGUCGUGAGAUGUUGGGUUAAGUCCCGCAACGAGCGCAACCCUUGUCAUUAGUUGCCAUCAUUAAGAUGGGCACUCUAAUGAGACUGCCGGUGACAAGCCGGAGGAAGGUGGGGAUGACGUCAAGUCCUCAUAGCCCUUAUGACCAGGGCUUCACACGUCAUACAAUGGUCGGUACAGAGGGUAGCCAAGCCGCGAGGUGGAGCCAAUCUCACAAAACCGAUCGUAGUCCGGAUUGCACUCUGCAACUCGAGUGCAUGAAGUCGGAAUCGCUAGUAAUCGCAGGUCAGCAUACUGCGGUGAAUACGUUCCCGGGUCUUGUACACAC